rnacentral:rRNA from 1 species
GAUAAACGCUGGCGGCGUGCCUAACACAUGCAAGUCGAACGCCCUUUUGCGCAAGUGAGAGGGAGUGGCGGACGGGUGAGUACCACGUGGGUACCUACCUUGAGGUGAGGAAUACCACCGAGAAAUCGGUGACAAGACCGCAUACGCUUGGCAACAAGCAAAGUCUCGCAAGAGACGCCACAAGAUGGGCCUGCGCCUGAUUAGCUAGUUGGUGAGGUAAUGGCNCACCAAGGCGACGAUCAGUAGCUGGUCUGAGAGGAUGGAUCAGCCACACUGGGAUUGAGAACGGCCAGACUCCGUACGGGGGCAGCAGUGAGGUAA